GGAGAGGUGGCAGAGCGGUUGAAUGCGGCGGUCUUGAAAACCGUUGUGGACGCAAGUCCAUCCUGAGUUCGAAUCUCAGCCUCUCCG
rnacentral:tRNA from 1 species